UUAAAGCUUCGGUUGUUCUUUCGGUCCACUUCAGAAAACGGAUUUGUUUGACCAUUUACUCUGUAGAUCCACAGAUCUCCCCCACUCACAUCCUUAGCAACUCUUUCGAGCACUUUUUUACUUGUCCUCACUCUCCUCCCUUCCUCACUUUCCUCUCCUUCCUCACUUUUAAUCCCUCCGCCCACCCUUUCCAGUGUUACUUGGCUACAGCGCUCGAGUUCUGACAACUGGCCUGAUUGAAGCAAGCCGUCCUUGCAUCUGUCUUCCUGAGAGUAAUCUCUUCAUGCUUUACACUUGGCUGCAUGGUAGUGGGAGGACGGAGGAAAACCUGAGAACCCAGAGGAAACCCACACAGUCACGGGAAGAACGUACGCAUCCAUCCUUCCAUUUUCUAUACCACUUAUCCUACACAGGGGGCGCACGGUGGCUUAGUGGUUAGCACGUUCGCCUCAUACCUCCAGGAUCGGGGGUUUGAUUCCCACCGUGGCCCUGUGUGUGCGGCGUUUGCAUGUUCUCCCCAUGCUGCUGUUUCCUCCGGGUACUCUGGUUUCCUCCCCCAGUCCAAAGACAUGCAUGGUAGGCUGACUGGCAUGUCUAAAGUGUCCAUAGUGUAUGAAUGGGUGUGUGAGUGUGUGAAUGUGUAUGUGAAUGUGUAUGUGAUUGUGCCCUGCGAUGGAUUGGCACCCUGUCCAGGGUGUAACCCGAUGCUGCCUGGGAUAGGCUCCAGGUUCCCCCGAAAAGGAUAAGCAGUAUAGAAGAUGGAUGGAUGGAUUAUCCUACACAGGGUCACAGGUAGCCUUGAGCCCAUCCCAGGGAACUCGGGGCACAACAUAGGGGACACCCUGGAUGGGGUUCAAUACGCAGUGGGGUAUCUUGGACUGGGGAAGGAAACCGGGGUACCUGGAGGAGAACAACAGAGGUGUGAGGAGGUGCGAGACAACAGUGCUAACAGUGCUAACCACUAUGGCCCUGUUUACACAAGUGCGUUUAAGUUUUAAAACGAAUAACUUUCGCCCGUCGUCUACACUACUCCGGUGUUUUCGACGCUCGAGAACUGAGGCUUCUGGAAACGUCAAAGACCCUGUUUUAGUUUGAAAACUCCGGGCUCGCGUUUCAGUGCAAACAGACCGAAACGAAGACGCGGCUUCACCCACAUUCGCUCGUGAUUGGGUUUUCUGGAUCAUUGCGUAUCCUUCCCUGAUUCAUCAAGCCCCUAUCAUAUGACCAUUACGCUACCUUGAUUGUAUACAACAACAACAUGGAGACUGAACUGCAAGCUUUGCUGGCUUUGUCGUCAUUCUUAGCAGCCAUUGUACAGUUAAAUUCUGUAUUUUAUAAUACUGCAGCUGCCUACAUGCGCAAGAGCCGAGCUACGAUUAGAGCAAUCAGCAACAAAUCUCAUUUCAAGCGGCGCACGCCCUGCAUGGAACACCGGUUUGUUGUGCCUGCCGGUGAUUAGCAACCAACUUCCUGUUUACACUUUAAUGCGCAUGACCAGUGUGCAUGAACGGUCAUGUGACGUGCGUAUUCGGUCGUGUAGUGUGGGACGGAGAUCGUUUCUGAAACACAGCGGAAACGCCAGUGUGGACGAGGAUCGUUUCAGCUAGUGUAAACAAGGCGUAAUCCAAGCCACACGAGUUUCUCCAGAGCAGAAUGCCGAUGUGAUGCUUCACGUGUGAUAUAUAACAUCUUCUUGUUAAAUGUGAAAAAUGAAUAUACUGACAGUCCAAAAUGAUUCCUCAAACACAGCGCUCGGAAAUUAUGUUUGUUUUUUUCAUUCCUGGUUUAUCCCAGCAUUGGACGAAUCCCGCUAGCUGUGCGAAUGCCAGUAGAUUAGGUGGAGGCCUGCGUAAUGCUGUGCGUUUGAGGAAGCCAGAGUUCCCGUGGAUGUUAUUUUAAAAGGCAGAACUCACAGCUGUCGCAAUACAUGCAGAGCACAGAGCGCGCACACACACACACACACACACACACACACACACACACACACACACACACACACACACACACACAAUACAACAUCCAGUAAUAUGGGAGAAAGCAAAGAAAACGACCUUCCUCUGCUAUCUUUAGUGUUCAAAACAGUGCCGUUCAACUAAUCACCGUCCCAGUGCUAAAACCCUGAUUAUUCAAGAAUGGACACACACACAAUCACACACAGACUGUGUAACAUAUGGAGUACUAUAAACAGUAGAGAAUGUGAUCGGUACUAGGUCUAGAUCGUGAUUAAAUCAAUAGCCACACUGAAACAAACAAAUAAAGGGCUGACUGAGCAGGAAAUAAGUCUCAGAAGAUAUAUAGCACUUUGGUAGACCUAAUGUCUAAAAAAAAAAAAAGAACAACAAUGUUUUUUUGCAGUUAGUGGUAAAGUUACCACAGAAGCUGUAGCUAACAUUAAGACACAAAGUCGAUAUGGAGCCUUAACAUACGUUUCAUUGAACGAGUUAGCUGGGACAAGGCUACACUGUACUGUAACGAGCUGGUAGAGAAACAGUUGCACUUUAAAAAGCUUCAGAAAGUUCAAACGCCUCAAGUCAUACUUUCACGUCAACCUCUUGGUUGAUAGACAGCUACGGUCGUCCUACUGUUCCAGGAGCGCUUCUGACAAACCAUUAAGUGCUCCUUUAUCCCUUAUCAGUCUGGCUUACUCUUCUCUUUACAAUGCUACAGAUAUGACACGCUCUAACCCGCUGAGCUCGGCAAACCUGCAGCGCAGCACCGGCUCGAUCGACCGAGCAACACUAAUUGCUCUUCGUCACUCUGUCCCUUUGUGAUAAGAAUUCAGAAUUCAGAUUCAGAAGGUAAACAGCCUUUCGCUCCCUUUAUGUCUGUAUCAGUCAAAAACAAGGCCAUAAUUAUGUAUAUCUCAUGACCAACCCUAAGCGGCUUACUGUCGUAAGAGUUAAUCCAGAAAUCCCUUUGUUCCCACAGUAUUAAAAUGCAAAGUUUACUUGAAAAAAAUAUUUGUUACUACUUUUUUUUU